rnacentral:rRNA from 1 species
AACGAACGCUGGCGGCAGGCCUAACACAUGCAAGUCGAACGCCCCGCAAGGGAGUGGCAGACGGGUGAGUAACGCGUGGGAACGUGCCCUUCGGUUCGGGAAUAACUCAGGGAAACUUGAGCUAAUACCGGAUACGUCCGUAAGGAGAAAGAUUUAUCGCCGAAGGAUCGGCCCGCGUCGGAUUAGCUAGUUGGUGAGGUAACGGCCCACCAAGGCGACGAUCCGUAGCUGGUCUGAGAGGAUGAUCAGCCACACUGGGACUGAGACACGGCCCAGACUCCUACGGGAGGCAGCAGUGGGGAAUAUUGGACAAUGGGCGAAAGCCUGAUCCAGCCAUGCCGCGUGAGUGAAGAAGGCCUUAGGGUUGUAAAGC